CGGUGAUACUACCUAAGAUAUGAUACCUCUUAUGCGAACCUUUAGUCUGAGUGAAAAUGCUCAGGUUCUAACCUUAGACAAAAAGACCCUAUGAAGCUUACAGCCUCCCUACCACAUAAAUUUCUUGCUGUUUCUUUGGGGAAAAGCACAAUAAUACUAUUUCUAUGCGUAAGAUCCUUAUAAGAAUUACGAAAAAGCUCCUCUAGGGAUAACAGCGCAAUACCAUUUUAGAGUUCACAUUAAAAG
rnacentral:rRNA from 1 species